GUCCUAAGAUCUAAGAGAAUCACUAUAUACUGUUGUCUUCCUGGACUCUGAGCUAAUCUAGAUUUCCUACCGCGCAUUGGAAGGAAUGGCCUCCACGACCUCAAAUGCAAACACAACGUGGGAAUUAGACCAAAUGAUAGAGAAAACCAGUGUAGCACGGACCAAUGGUCUGAGGUGGACCUCUGAGCACCCAGUGUGAGACCUCCAAUGUAGAGUGGCAAGAAAAGUACUAAAGAAAGAAGGAACCCCAGGUGGCUUAUCAACGCAGCCCUAACCUAACUGAUGCCUAUACUUAGAGCCACCAACACCAUCACAACAGAAAUCAACAGCAGUUGAGUUCCAGCAGAAGCUUAAAUAUUAGUUUGUAACUUUGCCAAACUAAAUCAUCAAAUAACAGAAUAGAAAAACACAACAAUUAAACAAAAAUUUCAUAUCUCCUUUU